rnacentral:tRNA from 1 species
GUCCCCUUCGUCUAGAGGCCUAGGACACCGCCCACUUUCUCUGGGUAGAGGGUCGGCGGUAACAGGGGGUCGAAUCCCCUAGGGGAUGCCA